CCAGACUACAUCAGGACAAGAUGCAUCAGAUAUGCUAAGAUACAGUCCAAUACCUUGGGACGCAGACACAGACAGCUUCACAUUCUGAUGUCCUGGCUCUUUGUAAUACUGUGACAGACUCCAUGAGAAUUGAAUGCCCUGCUUAUAAUUUUACAAGACUGAUGACUAGAAGAAAUUUUCGCAGGCUGCCUCCUGCCUCCUGGCUGCACACAUUUCAGACCUUUUUCUCCCCAUUAUCUUGAUACUUCCAGUACUGAGAGCUGCAGGACAUGGUCAUACUAUGACAAGCUUCUGAUACUGCACUAUGUGUCACCUCACAGGGUGAGUUCGUGCAGCGAGAGGUACAAAAAAUAUAAUAGGACAUUACGGUUAAGACAAAACUGUGAAAUCUACAAACAAAAAGGCCAAUAAAAAUAUACUUGCAUAAGAGGAUGAAGCAAGGUGCAGCUGAUUUGAUUGCUAUUACUUAUUUCAUCAUCAUUUUCCU